rnacentral:rRNA from 1 species
GAUGAACGCUAGCGACAGGCUUAACACAUGCAAGUCGAGGGGCAGCACAGGUAGCAAUACCGGGUGGCGACCGGCGCACGGGUGAGUAACGCGUAUGCAACUUGCCUAUCAGAGGGGGAUAACCCGGCGAAAGUCGGACUAAUACCGCAUGAAGCAGGGGCCCCGCAUGGGGAUAUUUGCUAAAGAUUCAUCGCUGAUAGAUAGGCAUGCGUUCCAUUAGGCAGUUGGCGGGGUAACGGCCCACCAAACCGACGAUGGAUAGGGGUUCUGAGAGGAAGGUCCCCCACAUUGGUACUGAGACACGGACCAAACUCCUACGGGAGGCAGCAGUGAGGAAUAUUGGUCAAUGGGCGUAAGCCUGAACCAGCCAAGUCGCGUGAGGGAUGAAGGUUCUAUGGAUCGUAAACCUCUUUUAUAAGGGAAUAAAGUGCGGGACGUGUCCCGUUUUGUAUGUACCUUAUGAAUAAGGAUCGGCUAACUCCGUGCCAGCAGCCGCGGUAAUACGGAGGAUCCGAGCGUUAUCCGGAUUUAUUGGGUUUAAAGGGUGCGUAGGCGGCCUUUUAAGUCAGCGGUGAAAGUCUGUGGCUCAACCAUAGAAUUGCCGUUGAAACUGGGGGGCUUGAGUAUGUUUGAGGCAGGCGGAAUGCGUGGUGUAGCGGUGAAAUGCAUAGAUAUCACGCAGAACCCCGAUUGCGAAGGCAGCCUGCCAAGCCAUUACUGACGCUGAUGCACGAAAGCGUGGGGAUCAAACAGGAUUAGAUACCCUGGUAGUCCACGCAGUAAACGAUGAUCACUAGCUGUUUGCGAUACACUGUAAGCGGCACAGCGAAAGCGUUAAGUGAUCCACCUGGGGAGUACGCCGGCAACGGUGAAACUCAAAGGAAUUGACGGGGGCCCGCACAAGCGGAGGAACAUGUGGUUUAAUUCGAUGAUACGCGAGGAACCUUACCCGGGUUUGAACGCAUUCGGACCGAGGUGGAAACACCUUUUCUAGCAAUAGCCGUUUGCGAGGUGCUGCAUGGUUGUCGUCAGCUCGUGCCGUGAGGUGUCGGCUUAAGUGCCAUAACGAGCGCAACCCUUGCCACUAGUUACUAACAGGUAAAGCUGAGGACUCUGGUGGGACUGCCAGCGUAAGCUGCGAGGAAGGCGGGGAUGACGUCAAAUCAGCACGGCCCUUACAUCCGGGGCGACACACGUGUUACAAUGGCGUGGACAAAGGGAAGCCACCUGGCGACAGGGAGCGAAUCCCCAAACCACGUCUCAGUUCGGAUCGGAGUCUGCAACCCGACUCCGUGAAGCUGGAUUCGCUAGUAAUCGCGCAUCAGCCAUGGCGCGGUGAAAUACGUUCCCGGGCCU